rnacentral:rRNA from 1 species
UACAGAGGGUGCAAGCGUUAAUCGGAAUUACUGGGCGUAAAGCGCGCGUAGGUGGUUUGGUAAGUCGGAUGUGAAAUCCCCGGGCUCAACCUGGGAACUGCAUUCGAAACUGCUUGACUAGAGUUUGAGAGAGGGAAGUGGAAUUCCACGUGUAGCAGUGAAAUGCGUAGAUAUAUGGAGGAACAUCGAUGGCGAAGGCAGCCUCCUGGGAUAACACUGACGCUCAUGCACGAAAGCGUGGGGAGCAAACAGG